GUGUGGGCCGGAGCUGGGCCGGAACAACAUUGCUAUGUGGGUGGUUAUGUGACAUACCCUGGUAUGUUUGAAAUUUAAAAUAUCUAAUUUCACCUUGUUAUUGUUGUUUAUUGUUGGGCGUGGUCUGCUGAAUUCAGUUACACAAUUCAAGCAGUUAUUUAAACAGUCAGUCCUCCGCGGCAGCCUCAUUGCGUGCAGCCCUCCUCGUGUGAUGACCGAAGAGUGAAAGACCAUCGACUCUACCUGUGUGACUCCACCGAGCAGGGACACCGACAGGGCACUGAAGUUUAAGGUCAAGCGCAAGACGUACCACAGGCGUGAGAUGUCUAACUGCAUUGACUAUGUGACCUGCCUGUGUUGUGCCAAGACCAUUUCCUACCACUGCUGGUCCAACUCGGAUGUGGGAGACGACCUCCACCCGUGCUCCUGCGAGUACAGCGAUAAGCCCUUUUGGAAGCGCUGGCUGCUCGUGCUGGGUCUGUCUCUGAUACUGCCCUGCAUGUGCUGUUACCCUCUGCUGUGCGCCUGCCAGUUCUGCGAGGAGGAGUAAUGCUGCUGAGGAGGCAAACACAAGGCCGCCAUGAGACCGACCCUCGGAGAGCGCCGUCGUGUUUUUCAUUCCCCCGAGUCGGGUAAUGCCGACCACGAUGAGCAAGAUUUGCUUGAAGCGGCUGUCUGCGUGCCAACGGGCUUGGGUACACAUUUUUGUGAUUUUGAUCCUUUUUAGUUUUGUACACCUGUCAGAUAAAAGUAAAUUUGGUGACUUUGAUCCACUUUGAAAGCUUGUCUUCUAGAAACAAUCAGUAAUUUUGCAUUGAAAGAAUAUAAUUCAGACUGUUAUAAUAUGAUCUAGUUCUCAAAUGUCAUUUUUAACUUGGAUUAUUUGUUUUCUUUGGUAUUGUCUGUGUUGAUGGUUUGUGUUGCUCUUUCUGCACCUGAAAUUGUAGAUUUCUCCGGUGAUCGUAACAUCUCUUUUCUUUUGUAACUUUACUCCAUUAAAAUCAUUUAAAUAAA